rnacentral:rRNA from 1 species
GCUGGAAAUUUGGGCAAUGGGGGAAACCCUGACCCAGCGACGCUGCGUGCGGGAUGAAGCCCUUCGGGGUGUAAACCGCUGUCGGGGAGGACGAAGGUGCAGGUGGCUAAUACCCACCUGUACUGACGGUACUCCCAGAGGAAGCCCUGGCUAACCUCGUGCCAGCAGCCGCGGUAAUACGGGGAGGGCAAGCGUUACCCGGAAUUACUGGGCUUAAAGGGGAGGUAGGCGGUUAGGCAAGUCCAGUGUGUAAUCCUGCGGCUCAACCGCAGGGCUGCGCUGGAUACUGCCUAACUAGAGG